rnacentral:rRNA from 1 species
AGAGUUUGAUCCUGGCUCAGAUUGAACGCUAGCGGCAUGCUUUACGCAUGCAAGUCGAACGGCAGCGCGGGGCAACCUGGCCGCCAGUUUCGAACGGGUGAGUAAUACAUCGGAACGUGCCCUGUGAUGGGGGAUAACUACGCGAAAGCGUAGCUAAUACCGCAUACGACCUACGGGUGAAAGUGGGGGAUCGCAAGACCUCACGUCAUAGGAGCGGCCGAUGGCGGAUUAGCUAGUUGGUAAGGUAAAGGCUUACCAAGGCAACGAUCCGUAGCUGGUCUGAGAGGACGACCAGCCACACUGGGACUGAGACACGGCCCAGACUCCUACGGGAGGCAGCAGUGGGGAAUCUUGGACAAUGGGGGCAACCCUGAUCCAGCAAUGCCGCGUGUGGGAUGAAGGCCUUCGGGUUGUAAACCACUUUUGGCGGGGGCGAAAUAUCGAGUGCUAAUACCAUUCGGUGAUGACGGUACCCGCAGAAUAAGCACCGGCUAACUACGUGCCAGCAGCCGCGGUAAUACGUAGGGUGCAAGCGUUAAUCGGAAUUACUGGGCGUAAAGUGUGCGUUGGCGGUUAGGUAAGACAGAUGUGAAAUUCCCGGGCUCAUUCUGGGAACUGCAUUUGUGACUGCCUGAUUAGAGUGCGGUGAGGGGAGUGGAAUUCCGCGUGU